UGAACAUUAGCAGGGCUUUUAGAAUAUAGUUUCUGAUUGGCUGUGGAUUUGACCAAACAACAAAAACUUCCCACUAGGUUUUAUCUUUGCUACCUUGCUAGCAUUAAGCCGAUUCGGAACAUUU